rnacentral:snRNA from 1 species
CAAUCUGAGGGAAUGUCAUAGGCGACCCCAUUGAUCGCCAGGGUUGAUUCGGCUGAUCUGGCUGGCUAGGCGGGUGUCCCCUUCCUCCCUCACCGCUCCAUGUGCGUCCCUCCCGAAGCUGCGCGCUCGGUGGAAGAGGACGACCAUCCCAGAUAGAAGGAGUGUACCGUUCUUCGGUCAAGGGUAUACGAUAGCUGCGCUCCCCUGCUAGAACCUCCAAGCUCAAGGCGAAGGGUCGAGAGAGUAUAUUUCAUGUGGAUAAUGUUAUGGCAAAGCUGGGGACAGCAUUUG